ACUGCGCCAAGAUCAAAUAUAAACAUCGGAUAUCUCAAAUGGGGAAGUUGGACAAAUCGUGUGGGGAAAUAAAGGAUUUCCCAUCAAUCUAUUUUUGCUAAUUAUAGCUGCAGAGUUUACUCCACGAGCUAUUUUUAGCAUUUUGAAAGAUUUGAGAAGAUUAUAAAAUAGGUUCCUCGGCGGAGAUCAGCAAAGAAUCUUAUCACCAGCAGCAGAAGAACGUCUGAGUGACUUCAGUCCACACUAUCACGAUCGGCAAUUCCAGAUACCGUCCAAUAACUACAUCACAAUGAAUUCGACUGUUAUCAUUCUUCUUGCCGCGAGCCUCUUCAUCUCCACCGUUAUGGCUCGUCCGCACUCGUCGUCAAAGAGUCAGGACGGAAAAGGUUCUUCAAUGACAGACAUGUUAAGAACACUGAGGCUCCGCUUACAAAAGAGAACUACCCAAGGCACCACAAUAACAAUAACCCCAGUGAAGAAAGCGGAAGUCGAACUUCUUGGACGGGGAACGAGAUGUUGGUGGAACGGGGCCAAGUACUUGUGCUUCGGGUAAUCUGGGCUCGGGGAGUUCAAGCUGCGGUGAAAGUUUACCAGGUUAUUUCACUGUUCCCACUCUCUUCAAAAAGCCUCAUGCAAUCUAAAGACUUCUUUCUACCUGUUACAGGCACCACAAUAACAAUAUCUCCAGUGACGAAAGCGGAAGUCGAACUUCUUGGACGGGGAACGAGAUGUUGGUGGAACGGAGUAAGAUACAUAUGUUUUGGUUGAUUGAAUCGGGGACGCACUGUGAAUUCACAGAGAUCUUAAUCAGCGCCUUGAUACAAAACGCAGGAUUAACUUUAUACUGGCCCGUGAACUCGUGAUCGCAUCAUCAUUUUUGAUUGCUUCCAUAAUGUUCAAAAUAACGCCAGUCCAAAAUACGUCGGCUCAAGAUCCGUUCCAGCCUUCGACUAUCCAUUUCUUCGUCAAAGACGAAGGGCAUUUAUGAGACAAGUUCAGAACUGCCGUGCAUUGCAUUUGCACAUUACCAGCCUUAUAGUAUUUCGAGCUCAAGGUUCGCGCAGACAAUCAUGACAAUAGCAACAUAAGUAUUUCUAAAAACGUGGUUUGCCAACUUCUCGUAUGAAGGCAACACGAAUCUCAAUCUCAAAAACAGGGUAAGGCCAACAUGUAUAUAAAUAAUGGAACAAUUAGAAAAGUGUAUAAACUUCUUUAGGAUUUCUAAUUUACAUCAUUAUUGUGCGUUCCUAUAUAUGCGCACCGUGCGUUUGUUAAUAAAAUACUUGUUUACCCGAUGAAUGUGCGUGUUGCUUUCAUUAUUUAGCAUAUUCAAUGACAGUCAUUGUAUUUCUUUAUAACGGCGACAUUUGAAGCCAUUUCUCAAUAUUCAGCUUGUUUCGACAUGAUGUUCACAAAUUUUCAGUUUUGUCUCACUCUAAUGCGCUUGCCUACAACUGGGCUAGGCAAAACUAUACGGCUG